rnacentral:rRNA from 1 species
GUAGGUGGCAAGCGUUGUCCGGAAUUAUUGGGCGUAAAGCGCGCGCAGGUGGUUCUUUAAGUCUGAUGUGAAAGCCCCCGGCUCAACCGGGGAGGGUCAUUGGAAACUGGGGAACUUGAGUGCAGGAGAGGAAAGUGGAAUUCCACGUGUAGCGGUGAAAUGCGUAGAUAUGUGGAGGAACACCAGUGGCGAAGGCGACUUUCUGGCCUGUAACUGACACUGAGGCGCGAAAGCGUGGGGAGCAAACAGGGAUUAGAUACCCUGGUAGUCCACGCCGUAAACGAUGAGUGCUAAGUGUUGGGGGGGUUUCCCGCCCCUCAGUGCUGCAGCUAACGCAUUAAGCACUCCGCCUGGGGAUACGGUCGCAAGACUG